CCAUUUUUGAAAACCAAUACGAUAAUUCAUGUACGUGUUGGAGAGUGGAGUUGUAGCAGUUGUAGUAGCCAUUGGCGAGCAACAAGAGAAGUGAUAACGCCAGCGAAACCUAGGUGACAGGUCAAUUGGGAUAUGUCUUCUAAUAGUGUGAAGGAAAGUGCAUCAGUUGCUGAACGGAAGCAUGACUUUGGAAAUUCAUAUGACCUAGAGAGCUCCAGUGACAAGUAUGAUGAAGACAUUAAUCCAACUAGGGCAGAUAAAGUGCGACAUUCUUACUGUCAGAUAGGGCAUCCAAGUGGAACUGGAAUGGGAAAAUUGUAUAAUGUAAAAUACUUCAUCAUUAAGAGUUUGAACCAUCAAAAUAUUCGUUUGUCAAUUGAGAAGGGAAUUUGGGCUACUCAAACCAUGAAUGAACCCAUUCUGGAAGAAGCUUUUCAUAAUUCAGGUAGUGUAAUCCUUAUAUUUAGUGUCAACAUGAGUGGCUGCUUCCAAGGGUACGCACAAAUGCUGUCCUCUAUUGGGUGGAGGAGAGACAAUGUUUGGAGUGAUGGAAGUGGUAAAAGUAAACCUUGGGGUCGCACUUUUAAGGUCAAAUGGCUGUGCUUGAAUGACUUGCCUUUCCAUAAGACUCUUCAUCUCAAGAAUCCACUGAAUGAAUAUAAACCUGUCAAAAUUAGCAGAGAUUGCCAGGAGUUAUCUCCAGAUAUUGGUCUAGCUCUUUGUGAACUCCUUGAUUGUAACAAUGAUGUGGAUGGACUUGCAAGUUCAUCAAGGAACAAUUUUUCUUCGGAGGGUCAUUCUGCUAAUACUCCAAGUGCAAUGGGAGAUCAAGACUGUAACUUUCCUUCGCCGCAGUUGUCAUGGUCAAUGCCUAUGGCUUAUUCUUCCAUAUUUUCCCAAAAUCAAGCUGAAGGUAAUAAAUUUCAUUCAACCAACCAGAAAUUCAGUGGAAGAAUGUUCACUGAAAUACCGCCCAUCACUUUUAAGUCAUCAAAAGUGGCAGGUAUUAAACGUUCUCAUUUUAGUGGGCGUACUCCGACGAUACUAAUGGAGAAGGAUGUGGCUUCACAAUUUGAUGAAUGGGGUCUGUUUUCAGAAUGCCCUUUAGCUAGUUCCCUAACUGAUGAUGAUUUUCUUGACAUGUCCUAUGAAGAAUACCUGGAGAUCCAUAGCAGAUGCAGGAAACAGUUACGUAGCAGUAGCAGUGUCAGCAACUAAACGAUAUCAGAAACAGCUAGAAUCGUUGGGAAGUAACACACACGAUGAUGAUAGGUGAAGACCUUUCCUGUUGCCAAACUCCAAAUUAUAAGUUGUCAAUUCUGUGAUUCUACAGCCAGGAAGCAUUUUGCAGGAAUUUAGGUGAGACUACUAGAGACUGGAACAACUCUCAUAAGAGGAUGCAUCAGUCCUAUUUGCCUUGAAUUAACUUCUCCUUCAACAAGGUAUGUGCUCUGUAGUUGAUCAGAAGAAGAUUACUGGAUUGGUUGAGGUCUGCAGGCCAAAAAGGGAUACACUAACAAUGUUGCUAGUUGUAGAAAUUGAUAGAUGGAACGUAAGAUUUACAUUUCAUAAUUUUUGAUUUGUUGUUAAGAAUACAAAGAUCUUGAAUAUUUUGUAAAUAUUGUGAGAAGCAAAAUUUGUAUAUUUUUGCUGUUCGUGUUA